UCUCCCCUCUCUCUCUCUCUCUCUCUCUCUCAAAGGAGGUCCGGAGAGAGAGGACCAGCCAGUUCUCAGGGCCUGAGGGCAGGUGGUUCUGAUUUGUGCAGGGGGGGAACAGACCACGUUUAUGUUCAGUUAAUAGCGGUACACGUGUCGUCACGUCCAGCGGUGGGAACAUGCUGGCUCCAUCUUGGUGUCACUUCUCGGGCCAUCCAGAAGGCAGAAAAGCCCUUGAACAGCGGCCCGAGUGACACGCAGACCGCAAAAUACAGCGAGAAAAAGGAUGAGGACACCCACACAGCGGUGAUGGAAAGCAGGCCUUGGACAAUACUAAUCCGAGAAACGGAGGGUGAGAGGCCGGACUGGGAGCGUCAGAGCGGCUGGAUUUACGAGCGUGUAAUGAAGCAUCUCUGACGCCGACAGACUAAACAGACAGACUGCGUCGGCCUCGCACACAUGGACGCGUACGCGGGACACGCACCUCCUCAGGUUUGCCCACUUCCCUCUUCCGGCCUUGAGAAGACAUCACUCUGCAAAGAAAAAGAAAAAGAAAAAAAAACAACAGAUACAGCAGAUAAUAGAUGUAACAAAUUCUGUUUUCCCAACUGCUCUUCUUGUCAUGUUAUGAGUGUUAAAUCCAACCUUUUCCUGUCUCGAGUCAGGUGACUUUAGGUACAUGUUUUGUACUAAAUGAUAUGGAAGAUUGGGCCUGGAUGAGGUUCUUCACUCCCCCCUUCUUCAGCUAUGUUUUGACUAGCAUGCCAGCUCUCUGACUACAAGCGAAACGCCGACACCCCUGGAGUGGAUUCUGAGCAUACCAAGGAGGAGAUGCCUUUGAAAGGACAGAUGUUCCUGGGCUUAACCUUCCUCCUACCCAAACCACCACUCUCCUUCCAUUGUAUAUUUGUUCUUGCUCUAUAAAUAACCGACUGGUAUAAGUCACAGAAAAAUGAAACUGAUGCGCCGCUGACCUCCGAGCCCCUCAUCCUUGAGAGGAUUUGUGAGACUGCAGUGUUUGCCCUCUUGCUUCGGCAGCGGGGAUGAAUGGGUGAUUGUUCACUGGCCCUUGUGACGACUCUCGUGGGGCCCAUCAAUUCACUGAGGCUCCUGGAACAUCAGGUCACGGCUAACCAGGCUCUGAAGCUGCAGCCUGGCCUCGCCGUGCCGAUCUCGCCACAGCUAGAGCUCGGGACCUCCAGGGCGCACAGCUGGGUCCCCUAAAAAAGCCCAGCUGAAUGGUUUUAGAAACACUGCAGCUCCUCUUACCCUGCCCUCACUCUCCAUCGAGAAUAGCCCAGAUAUCAGAUACUGUGUUUUUUACUUGAUAUGUUCAUCUCUGCUUGCCAAAACCCCUGGAAACCAUAUUAAAGUCUGCAUUCCAUAUUUUUAACCAACAGGCCUCUACAGUUUAAGAAUUUGUCCAACAUUUCCAUCGCCCCCUUUCCCCUUUUCUUUCUUCUCCUCGCAUUUUUUUCUCCACAGCUCCGUGUCACCCCCGUCUCUUCCCCACAGGCUCGCACACGUCUUCAUUUUCUCUCUCUUUUUUUUUUUUUUUUUUUUUUC